rnacentral:misc_RNA from 1 species
UCGCACCUUGACCUAUUCUGGUCAAUUAAAAAUAACACAAGGCUGAGAACUCGGGAAGAGUUAUACUUUGUGUUUGCAAUGCUCAUCGUUUCGCACCUUACGCAACAGAUAAAAAUUGGCUCGCGUCUGCGUAUCACACGAACAAAUACAAUAUCAAGUUCCUGUUGGCGAGACAACUUUCGACCGAAUGUAGCGCACACUGACAGUUCUCUCGCGUUGUUUCGUACAACGACAUUGAACCCUAUUUUUCCACGUACAAAUUCGAUUCAAAUCGGUGUAAUCUUCUUUAUUCAUUGUUAAAGACCGCAAAAAGAAACAACAAAAUCUUCUAGGUUCUAUAGAUUCGUAUCAAAUGUGUGAAACAUCUUCUAAAAAAUAUGAACAGUGUAUUAUUCAAAUGCAAAUUGUAUAAUCUUUUAUUAAUUCUCAAUGCUGUACUUACCGCUGGUAAUGCAAACCCUAAUUUUUUAAAUAAUCGUCAAGAACUUUUUAAGAAAGCUUUCCAUCGUGACUGAGAACCAAACGAAUAUUCGUGCUGGAAUAGAUUAUCGGUUGUGAGUAAAGAGUGAAUUGAAGAACGCAAGUGAAGCUUUGGGAUGGUGUCACGUAAAGCUUUAAAAUGCACUGUGCCGCUUGGAAGUUUGAUUGUUUGGGAGAAGAACGUGUAUUGUGGUUACGAAGUUUUAAAAGUACAAUAUGAUUCGAGGAAAAGCUAUGGAGUUGUCGAGAGUCAUGAAAGAAUCAUGAGACAGCCGUUCAGAGUCAGAGUUGAAGGAAUCCAAAGUCAUUUUGAAUGCGAUCGGUCAAACGUGACCAAUGAAAAAGGCGCUUAUUGGUAAUCCCACUGCGAUAACCUCGCGCAAGCAAUCUCGUUUCUCUCUUUAAACGCUUCAUCGCUAAAUGAAGCGGAGGAAAGAGCAAAAAAAUUGUGUAUGUUCGGCACAAUGACACCAGUGGUUAAAUCUCGCGUGAUAGGUAAUAAGAGAAAGACAAAUUUCAAGUAUCGCUUGUUAUAAUCGUGUGGAAGAUACAGAAGGCACGACUUACGAGUUCCAGAUUGUAAUACUCUUACGAAACGUAAGCAAAACGUUCUAACUUCCUUUUUAACCCCUUCGAGAAAUUAUGCUUAUUAAUUCGUGGAAUAAAAUAAAUUUGACGAAGUGAUAAAUUUAUAUGCGUCUCUUUCUGAGAAAUGUUUAAGUUAAUUGUUAGAAAAUCUUUCGCUUAUUUAAUAGCACAGCUUUCAAACUUUAUGGUUUCAUAAAGCUUAAUCAAAUCUUACCAAUCUAUCUCCAAUUUUACGCGAAGACGUUAUAAUAAUCAUUGUAUCGGAUAAUAAAAGUUUGAGGUGUAUAGGUCGUGAUAGGUACUGAAGGAACACUCGGAUAUGUUCAACAACAGAGAUAUUUAUUCAUAUAUAUAUAUUCUUGGUAUACAGUUAUGCGUGGAACGCGCGAUUACUAAUAUAGGUUCGCGGUUACAAGUUCGAACUCGGCGCGAUACGUUUCGCGAUGCGAUUCAAGUCGGAUGAUGAUUGCCUGAAAUAUCGAGAAAUUCGGAUCAGUGAUUACGGCCCACCACGAUCAAUUCGGACAGGCAUCUCCUGACUGACUUUGCGUCACGAUGAUGCUGCUUAGGGUGUGUCUAAGGAUACGAAAUCAUCGGAUUCAUUGAGGGAAGCGUUGGUUCGGAAAGUGAGGGAAGUGGACGUUGCUGUUAAGUGACUAAAGUUUAAGUUGGUGGUUGGGAAAGGAUACUAACCACCCUUGAGAGAAAGUUACUAGCGGAAAGCA